UACGUAGGUGGCAAGCGUUGUCCGGAAUUAUUGGGCGUAAGCGCGCGCAGGUGGUUUCUUAAGUCUGAUGUGAAAGCCCACGGCUCAACCGUGGAGGGUCAUUGGAAACUGGGGAACUUGAGUGCAGGAGAGAAGAGUGGAAUUCCACGUGUAGCGGUGAAAUGCGUAGAGAUGUGGAGGAACACCAGUGGCGAAGGCGACUCUUUGGCCUGUAACUGACACUGAGGCGCGAAAGCGUGGGGAGCAAACAGG
rnacentral:rRNA from 1 species